CCUGGUUGGUCCUGCCAGUAGCAUAUGCUUGUCUCAAAGAUUAAGUCAUACAGGUGUAAGUACACACGGCUGGUACAGUGAAACUGUGAAUGGCUCAUCAAAUCAGUUAUGGUUCUAUUCACCACUUCAUCUGUCACUUAGCUAACUGUGGUACAGAGCUCAUACAUGCUGAGGAGAGGGAUGAGUGCAUUCAACAGACCAAGACCAAUCCAGGCUUGCCUGCCCGCUUUGGUGACUCUAUAUGACAUUUGGCCGAUCACACGUCCACGUGACAGGUAAAAUACAUAAGGAUAUCCGCCUAAUCAACUUUUGAUGGUACUUUCCGUGCCUUCCAUGGUGACCACGGGUAACAGGGAAUGGAGAGGGAGCUUGAGAAACAGCUACCACCUCCAAGGAAGGUGGCAGGAGUGGAAAUCACCUACUCCUAACCCGGGGAGGUAGUGAUGAAAAAUGACAGUACAGGACUGUUUGAGGCCCAGUAAUUGGAAUUAGUCCACAUUAAAUCCCUUAAGGAGGGUCCAUUGGAGGGCAGGUCUGUGCCAACAGCCACAGUAGUUCCAGUUCCAAUAGUGUAUGUUAAAGUUGCUGCAGUGAAAAAGGUCUUAGUUGGAUCUUCGGAUGAAGCUGGCGGUCUCCUACGAGGCGAGCUACCGCCUCCUCAGCCCCUGCCUCUCUGCACCCCUUGAUGCUCUUCAGUGAGUGCCCUGGGGUCCAACGCAUUUAAAUUAGUGUGUUCAAAGCAGGCAGGCCACCUAAAUACAUCAGCUAGGUAUAAUGAAUGGGACUCUGAUUCUAUUUUGUUGUUUUUCAGAACUGGGGCCAUGAUUGAGAUGGAUGGCCCAGGGCAUUUGUAUUGUGCAGCUAGAGAUUAAAUUCUUGGACCGGCACAAGAUGAAACAAAGCAAAGCAUUUGCCAAGAAUGUUUUCUUUGAUUAAGAACAAAAGUCAGAGGGUCAAAGACAAUCAGUUACUGUUGUAGUUCAGACCAUAAACUUUGCCGGCCAGCAAUUCGACAGAGCUGUUCCUGUGACUCUCCGAGCAGCUUUCUAGAAACCAAUGUCUUUGGUUUCCGAGGGGAGUAUGGUUGCAAAGGUGGAACUUAAAGGAAUUGGCAGAAGCUCACCACCAGGAGUGGAGCCUGCAGCUUAAUUUGACUAAACACAGGACACCUCACCAGGUCCAGACACAUAAAGGAUUGACAAAUGGAUAGCUCUUUCUCGAUUCAGUGGGUGUCGGUGCAUGGCCGUUCUUAGUUGGUGGAGCAAUUUGUCUGGUUAAUUCCAAUAAGAAACUAGACUCCUCUAUGCUUACUGGUUUCAUGACCCCCAGCAAGCAGCGUUCAACUUCUUAGAGAGCCAAGUGGCCUUCGCCCAUACGAAACCGAGCAAUCGCAGGUCUGCGAUGCCCUUAGAUGUCCAGGGCUUUGUGCACGCUACACAGAACGGAUCAGUGUGUGUCAACCUGUGGGUAACCUGCUGAAUUCUCAGUAAGUGCAGGUCAUAAGCUUGUGUUGAUUAGUCCCUGCCCUUUGAACACACCGACCGUCGCUACUACCAAUUUGAUGGGCUACUGAGGUCCUCGAAUCGGACCUGCCGGGAUCUGCAACAGCCCUUGUGGAGCACCAAAAAGGUGAUCAAAUUUGACUAUCUUGACGAAGUAAAAGUCUAAACAAGGUUUCCGUAGGGGCACCUGAGGAAG
rnacentral:rRNA from 1 species